UACGGCGGGGGCAAGCGUUGUUCGGAAUCACUGGGCGUAAAGCGCGUGUAGGCGGCCUCUUAAGUCUGGUGUGAAAGCCCGGGGCUCACCCCCGGAAGGGCACUGGAUACUGGGAGGCUAGAGUACCGGAGAGGAGGGUGGAAUUCCUGGUGUAGCGGUGAAAUGCGUAGAUAUCAGGAGGAACACCGGUGGCGUAGGCGGCCCUCUGGACGGCUACUGACGCUGAGACGCGAAAGCGUGGGGAGCAAACAGG
rnacentral:rRNA from 1 species